GACCGCGUAGCUCAGUUGGAAGAGCAUUGGGCUAGUAUUCCAAAGGUCGUAGGUUCGAAUGCCACCGUGGCCG